rnacentral:rRNA from 1 species
AUUGAACGCUGGCGGCAGGCCUAACACAUGCAAGUCGAAUGGUAACAGGAAACAGCUUGCUGUUUCGCUGACGAGUGGCGGACGGGUGAGUAAUGUCUGGGAAACUGCCUGAUGGAGGGGGAUAACUACUGGAAACGGUAGCUAAUACCGCAUAACGUCGCAAGACCAAAGAGGGGGACCUUCGGGCCUCUUGCCAUCAGAUGUGCCCAGAUGGGAUUAGCUAGUAGUGGGUAACGGCUCACCUAGGCGACGAUCCCUAGCUGGUCUGAGAGGAUGACCAGCCACACUGGAACUGAGACACGGUCCAGACUCCUACGGGAGCAGCAGUGGGAAUAUUGCGACAAUGGGCGCAAGCCUGAUGCAGCCAUGCCGCGUGUAUGAAGAAGGCCUUCGGUUGUAAGUAC